CCUACGGGUGGCAGCAGUGAGGAAUAUUGGUCAAUGGGCUUACGCCUGAACCAGCCAAGUCGCGUGAGGGAAGACUGCCCUAUGGGUUGUAAACCUCUUUUGUCAGGGAGCAACGCCGGCUACGUGUAGCCGGACUGAGAGUACCUGAAGAAAAAGCAUCGGCUAACUACGUGCCAGCAGCCGCGGUAAUACGUAGGGGGCAAGCGUUAUCCGGAAUCACUGGGUGUAAAGGGAGCGUAGACGGCUGAGCAAGCCUGAAGUGAAAGGCGGGGGCCCAACCCCCGGACUGCUUUGGGAACUGUACGGCUGGAGUGCAGGAGAGGUAAGUGGAAUUCCUAGGGUAGCGGUGAAAUGCGUAGAUAUUAGGAGGAACACCAGUGGCGAAGGCGGCUUACUGGACUGUAACUGACGUUGAGGCUCGAAAGCGUGGGGAGCAAACAGGAUUAGAUACCCUAGUAGUC
rnacentral:rRNA from 1 species